AACGAACGCUGGCGGCAGGCUUAACACAUGCAGGUCGAGCGCCCCGCAAGGGGAGCGGCAGACGGGUGAGUAACGCGUGGGAAUCUACCCAUCACUACGGAACAACUCCGGGAAACUGGAGCUAAUACCGUAUACGUCCUUCGGGAGAAAGAUUUAUCGGUGAUGGAUGAGCCCGCGUUGGAUUAGCUAGUUGGUGGGGUAAUGGCCUACCAAGGCGACGAUCCAUAGCUGGUCUGAGAGGAUGAUCAGCCACACUGGGACUGAGACACGGCCCAGACUCCUACGGGAGGCAGCAGUGGGGAAUAUUGGACAAUGGGCGAAAGCCUGAUCCAGCCAUGCCGCGUGAGUGAUGAAGGCCCUAGGGUUGUAAAGCUCUUUCACCGGUGAAGAUAAUGACGGUAACCGGAGAAGAAGCCCCGGCUAACUUCGUGCCAGCCGCCGCUGUAAUAC
rnacentral:rRNA from 1 species